rnacentral:lncRNA from 10 species
CAGCUUUCCCGAAAAUAAAAUGAGAAUCCCCAGGAAACAGGGAAAAUGGAAGGCGGGCGGCUCUGCAAGUCCGACCUGGGUGCCCCAGAGAGCUGCUCCGGGAAAGACGUUUACCUGCUGCCCAGAGCUGGGACUGCAGACCCUGAUUGGCGAGGGCUUGGAGAGUAGCUGAGAACCUUCCCUUCAGCUACUGAAGACCAGACAGGGCUUUCUGUAUCACGCUGCCUGACGAUGAUGAGGGUGCAGUGACUAAGAGUGCAGAUGAAAGGCCCAGCUCUCCAACCAGGUGGAUGGAUUUGCAAGGAGCUUCUAUCUGGGCGUGGUGGCUCAUGCCUGUAAUCCCAGCACUUUGGGAGGCUGGUCUUGAACUCCUGACCUCAGGUGAUCCCCCCCACCUUGGCCUCCCAAAGUGCUGGGAUUACAGAGGUGGCUCUUUUAAUUGACUCCUCUCCAGGCAUCUCUCCUUCCAGCCACAGAGCCUGGCCUGAUGGUCCCAGGGCCCCAGGGCCCCAGGUGAAGGCCUCUCUCCUCCCCCACUCAGGUCUGACCAGCUCUGUUUCCAUCCUGGUGUGGGCACAAGGUCUCUUGCUGCAGCUGGGCCAGUUUGCUGACCUUCUCAGCUCCUUCUCUUAGACUGGAGAGGCCUGGAAGGGUGCCCGAGGGAGGGUCUGGGCUGCUCUCCUGGGCUCCUCCCCUCCACUCCAGGACUCUGGCUGGAGCCUGGUCAGGGUCCUUACUGAGUUCUCAGCCAAGCGCCAGCCCUGUGAUGGCCUGAGGGGUCUGGUGGGGAAGCCCCAAA